AGGAUGAACGCUGGCGGCGUGCUUAACACAUGCAAGUCGAACGGAGUGUAGACGCUGCAGAGAUUUCGGUCGAAGCUUGUUACACUUAGUGGCGGACGGGUGAGUAACGCGUGGGUAACCUGCCGUAUGCAGGGGGACAACAGUUGGAAACGACUGCUAAUACCGCAUAUGCGCACAGUACCGCAUGGUACAGUGUGGAAAGAUUUAUCGGCAUACGAUGGACCCGCGUUUGAUUAGAUAGUUGGUGAGGUAACGGCUCACCAAGUCGACGAUCAAUAGCCGGCCUGAGAGGGCAAUCGGCCACAUUGGGACUGAGACACGGCCCAAACUCCUACGGGAGGCAGCAGUGGGGAAUAUUGCACAAUGGGGGAAACCCUGAUGCAGCCGACGCCGCGUGAGUGAAGAAGUAUUUCGGUAUGUAAAGCUCGUAUCAGCAGGGAAGAUGAUGACGGUACCUGACUAAGAAGCCCCGGCUAACUACGUGCCAGCAGCGGC
rnacentral:rRNA from 1 species